GAAAUUUAAAAAUAAUCUCGUUUCAAUUAAAAAAAACAAAUUGACUAGCAAAACUAGAGAGGGUUUUAUAACCAUGAUUAAGACUAAUAUUUUUUUCGUUUGAAACAGUGGAUACAUGACUCCAGAAUAUGCAAUGCAAGGUAUCUUCUUGGUAAAAUCUUAUGUUUUUGGUUUUGAAGUUCUUUAGUUAGAGAUUAUUGCAGGAAAAAGGAGGAAUGUGGGUUCUAUCUUUCCGAUGAUGAUCGUCUGAGCCUCCUCACGCAUGGAAUUUAUGGCAUGAAGGCAAAGCAAUGGAGAUUAUGGAUUCAAUCUUGGAAAAAACAUGUGUGGUUAGUGAAGUUCUAAAUUGUAUACACAUUGCUUUAUUAUGUGUUACAAGAGGAUCCAAUUAACAGACCAACCAUGUCCACUAUAGUUGUUAUGCUAGCAAGUGAUACCAUGACACUCCCCAAACCAAAACAGCCUGCAUUUUCCGUUGGAAAAAAGGAUCAAACACUAGUUUCAGCUGGUUCCUAUGGUUCUGUCAAUGAUGUGACAAUUUCUGGUUUCUCACCUCGGUAAUAUUGGAUGACUCCUCUUGCUCCAUUGAGUUUUGAUCAUGAAGAACAAUGUGAGGCUUUUGUUGGGUUGAUAACAUGCCAAUGAUGUAUAUGUUUAGGUGCAAUGAUGCAAUGGUCAGCAAAUUAUACGGUCUAGUUCCUUUUGUAGAUGUAGAAAUGAUGUUUAUAGAUUAUAAAUUAGGCUUCUUCAAGUUA